AAUAAGUGUAGUUUUGCACUAUUCACGUUUAACGUUUGACCGUUCGUCUUAUUUGAAUUUUUUUAUGAUUAGUAUUUUUAUUGCUAUUAGAUGAUAAAACAUGAGCAAUACUUUAUGUGUGACUAAAUAUUUUUAAAUUUUUCAAAUAAGACAGACGGUCAAACGUUGGGCACGGAUAUCCAUGGCUGCACUUAUU
rfam:Oryza glumipatula chromosome 7, whole genome shotgun sequence.